ensembl:lncRNA
GUGGGCAGGCCUGUGACUUCAAACAGCUCUACAUCUACCCAGGCUGUGACGCUGGCAUCCGCGCCAUGGACCUGUCUCACGACCAGAGGACUCUGAUCACUGGCAUGGCAUCUGGCAGCAUCGUAGCUUUCAACAUCGACUUCAACCGCUGGCACUACGAACACCAGAACAGGUACUGAGGAGGACAAACACGAGACGAGGAGAGAGAGGAAGACGAGCACCAGGCGAGGAGAGAGAGGAAGACGAGCACCAGACGAGGAGAGAGAGGAAGACGAGCACCAGGCGAGGAGAGAGAGGAAGACGAGCACCAGACGAGGAGAGAGAGGAAGAUGAGCACCAGACGAGAAGAGAGAGGAAGACGAGCACCAGACGAGAAGAGAGAGGAAGACGAGCACCAGACGAGAAGAGAGAGGAAGACGAGCACCAGACGAGAAGAGAGAGGAAGACGAGCACCAGACGAGGAGAGAGAGGAAGACGAGCACCAGACGAGGAGAGAGAGGAAGACGAGCACCAGGCGAGGAGAGAGAGGUCGAGCUGUAAACAACAGCUACAAAAAUGAAGAAUAAGAGGUUGAAAAGCCACUAAAACUCUACUUCCUGUGAUGAGUUUCACUUGAGAAGGAAGAGCGAGAGAGAGAGAGCAUCACAGCUACUGUAGGACAUCUUGUCUGCCAUUUCAACCCUAACAGCCACAUGACACCCCUGAUGGGAUCCUUAUAUUAAUGAACUAAGAUAUAAAGUAAGGAGAAGAUCAAAUCUACUGCUAGACUUUGACUGGGGUUGACCAGACCCAUAUAGGACUUUUAAUGUUUGAGAAUAUUCACUGUUAAUGGACAGAACGCUUAUCGCUUCACAGAACAAAAUAACAUUACUAAAAAAAUGGGUUUUGUUGCUUUUGGGUUUAGUUAUUUUGUUAUGUUUUUUUUUCUUUAUUUCUCUUUUGUUUCUAGUUUUAAAGGGUGGGAGAUGUGGUCCAGACUAACACAGAAAGUUCAAACUGGUCGAAACUGAAUUGAACAGGUUUAACACUGACCCUGGAAUGCACUGGUCUGACCCUGGAUUGAAUUGGUCUGAAGCAGUACUUCCUAUUAAAGAAAACAGAUGCUGUUGGCUUAAACUCAUAUCGAGUAAAUUAUAUAUUUUUUGGUUUCAUAUUAUUUUGUUUUGAUUUAAUUUCUUACGUUUGAUUUAUUUUAUUUCAGUUAAUUUAUUUUUUAUAUAUAUUUCUUUUAAUUAGCCCAUUGGGGGGGUGAAUAUGAUUUCUGUAAAUACUGUUUUGUUUCCUAGUCUCUGUGUCAAUGAUUGACAAGCAGGAAUAGAUCACAGUCCUCACUCCUAUCACCACACAGACCAUCACUUUUCAUUUAUGAAUGAAUUCCUGUGUAAUAAUAGCGAUGGCAAUGAUGAUGACUGUGAUGAUGAAGAUUAAGAAAUGUUUCGCUAACGCCAUCAAACGAUGACAUCUACCAGAUAUCCACAAGACAAGUCUGAUUUUUGUUUAUUUGGUGAUUGUUUUGUCAAAUAUGUACAUUUAGUCUUGGUUUCAGGAUACAGGCCUCACAGAGAGGGAGUUUGAUAGACUUCAGGCUACGAGGGACAGGCCUCACAGAGAGGGAGUUUGAUAGACUUCAGGCUACGACGGACAGGCCUCACAGAGAGGGAGUUUGAUAGGCUACGAGGGACAGGCCUCACAGAGAAGGAGUUUGAUAGACUUCAGGCUACGACGGACAGGCCUCACAGAGAGGGAGUUUGAUAGACU